rnacentral:rRNA from 1 species
UACGUAGGGUGCGAGCGUUGUCCGGAAUUAUUGGGCGUAAAGGGCUCGUAGGCGGUUUGUCGCGUCGGGAGUGAAAUCCACUGGCUUAACUGGUGGCUUGCUUUCGAUACGGGCAGACUGGAGGUAUGCAGGGGAGAACGGAAUUCCUGGUGUAGCGGUGAAAUGCGCAGAUAUCAGGAGGAACACCGGUGGCGAAGGCGGGUCUCUGGGCCGAAACUGACGCUGAGGUGCGAAAGCUAGGGUAGCAAGCGGG